GUGGCCACGCAACACAGAUGCCAACACUGGGCUGGCACAGGGAUGAUCGGCAUGGCACCUGUGCAAGAAUGACACACAAAUUCCUGACAUAUUCCAAAUUUGA